GCAGCUGCCUCUGGUGAGUGGGACCUGGGCUGGGGGCGGUGAAGCAGCAUACUGUUGCUUUUGUUAAUAAAUCUUGUGCUGCUACCUUUUAGUUAUUUAUUUAAAAAUGUUUUAAUGUUUACUUAUUUUUGAGAGAAAGAGAGAAAGAGCGGGGGAAGGGCAGAGAGAGGAGGACACACAGAAUCUGAAGCAGGGUCCAGGCUCCGAGCUGUCAGCACAGAGCCCAACGUGGGGCUUGAACUCACAAACCGUGAGAUCAUGGACCUGAGCUGAAGUCGGUGCUUAACCAACCGAGCCACCCAGGUGCCCCUCUACCUGACUUCUAAAACAACGUACAUGUAUAACUUGGAUAAAAAAUAAGGAAAUUCAGAAGUUGAAAAAUACAAGCAGAGCCAAGAAGAGGAGACAAACCUACGACUUGAAGCAACCUCCAAUUUUGUCCUACCAUGUAGGACAGUGUCGGCAUCUCACGUGCGACCUGACUGCAUAACAACACAGCCGCACAGCUUUGUAAUUCACCAGAACGAAUCUGAUGUGGUGUGAACCAGCAGAAAUGAAGUUAUAAUCCUGAGUUUGGGAGAAGAUUUGUAGAUUAUCACAAUAAAGAAUUUAAAAGGAUUCUUUUUUCUUAACUUUGUUUAACGUUUAUUUUUGAGAGACAGAGAGAGACGGCAAACGAGAGAGGGAGACACAGAAUCCGAAGCAGGCUCCAGGCUCUUAGCUGUCAGCACAGGGCCCUAUGUGGUGCUCGAACCCACAAAUUGUGAGAUCAUGCCCCGAGCUGAAGUUGGAUGCUUAACUGACUAAGCCACCCAGGUGCCCCUAAUUUAAAAGGAUUCUAACAGCUGAACCCACCGAACUGUAGUGCCAGAUAACCACCCUUCUAAACAUGGGAAGUUGUCCUUGCAUAGGCAUUUGGGAUUUAGAUACUCAAUUAUCUUUCUUUUUACCCAAUUCCUCCCCCAUCCACAGGUCUGUCCCCACCCUGUCACACUGCUCCUGCUCAACCUUUCCAUUUCAGCCAAAUGUUUUAUUUCAUUCUUGUUUUGUUUCUUUUUUUUUUUUUUUAAUCACUUAACCCCAGCCCCAACAUCUUCUCCUAACUUGCCCAAUUUCUCAUCUUGCUUUGAAAUCCUUGUAUUGGUCGGUCUUCUUCCCAUAGUCUUUUGGAGUGUCUGGGAGUUCUUUAUAAUUCUGAAGUAUGGAUAAUUCAGUAGUAAGAUUUAUUCAAGUCUUUUGGCCUGCACAACCUCUUUUUCUAUGUUGUCAUUCCUCUUCUUGGAUUUAUCAGUCUGCCUGGCUCAGCUGGCAAGCCCCUGGCCUUCUGAGCAAUAUUCCUAAUGUUGGAUAUGGUCACGAGCAUACUUCUGGAUGAGGGCCAUCUCAUAACGAUGUGAAAGAAAAGGAUUGUCAAAAUCCAGUGUCACUGCUUGGGGGAAGAUGAUCCUUGGGGCAAAACCAAUGUUGGAUGAAAAAUACUUAAAAACCUUGCACAAAGCCUUUUAGAGAUUACCAGCCAAAGUACACACAAUGUACAAAGAGUAGAAAUGGAGAGGCUCUGUCUACUGGAAGGUGUGAACAUGGGCAAGGAAGUGCCAUGAAAGAAGGGUAAACAUGUAAAAAAAAAAAAUGCUGUGUAAGAGCAAGAUCUGUGGAGAGAAAAUGAUCUAUUACUGAGCCAAACAGUAGUAUGUAGCUAAUCCAGGCAGAGAGCUGACUUUUUUCCCACUUCUAAUUUUCAUGAUUUAUAUAUUUAAUCAGUUAUCCAAGUAUCACCCAUUACACACUUGUGCAGCUUAACAUGGGACUUGUUUCAGAGCGUGCGCGUCAGGUGGUGCUUACAUUGCUUACAAGGCUUGGUCAUUCAGGAUGGGAUUGUAAUUUCAAGGUAAUAAUGAAGUGUGAUGCUGCAAUUCCACAAUUUAAUUUGGGUAAACCCAUAAAUGUGGGUCAGAAAGUCACAUCUUAAGGUAAGUAACUUCUGAUGGAAUUCUUGCUGCCAUGUGGUGAAAUGUAUGUCUUAAUGAGCUUCCCUAUGAGAUGGGCACAUAUAGUCACUAUGGACAGGAAGAUAUGAGAGUAUGCUUUCUUUGUGGAUGCUCCCCAGGGCGGCCUUUGCAUUUGUCCCUGCAUGCUUGGUCAGAGGUCCACCUACCCAGCUCUGUGCCUCCAGAGCCUUAAAACCACCCAUCUCUUCACCUCCCACAACACCAGGGACAAAUGGAAUGAGACAAAUUGGUUAAGGAAGUUGCCACUUCUUACCCAGUGAUGUGUCCCUAGAGGCUCUGAGAUCCAUUUGAAUCAAGUCACCAGCAGUCAAAUUCAGUGGUCAUGGGAAGAGGUGGGAUGCUCAGGAUACAUGAAGAAGCUAGUCCAGAAAAACUGGUGAAGGUCAAGGACCUCCCUAGUUGAUACGAUCUAGGAGAACAGAGGCAUUCUCUGGCUCUAUAGUGGCUAAUGUCCUCCUGCAAAACCACUCCUUUAGUAACUCAAAAAAAUAUUAAUAUGUGCCAGGUAUUAUAUGGGUAUUGGUAAUGUAGAUAUGAACAAAGCAGACAAGGUCCUACUUUCAUGAAACUUAAAGCCUACAGCAAAGACAGAAAUUAGUAAGUAAAUUACAAGCAACGUAAUAUUAUAAAUUGUGACAGGUGUUAUGAAGGAGAAAAACAGGGUUCUAUGAGAGAGACUAACAGAGGAGGCCAACUUUACUUUGCCUGGAAACGGUCAUUUAACCAGUGUGGCUCAAUGAUCAUUUGAGCAGCCAGGCAAAGAGCAGAGAUUAGGGACUACCUCUGAGAGUCCAAAGAAGUGUCAGAGGCAAUCUUGGAUCUGAAGGAGAUUAUGACUUAGUUGAAGAGAUCUAGUGAUGUCUUACUUUUGCACAGAGUUUUACCACUUGGAGAUGACCUCCAUGUACACGGAUUUGAGGCAGGUAUGGCACACACAUAAAAAGAGACUAACAAUACUUGUGCUCAGUGAGCCAGCACAGUCCCUUGGCUGGGAUGGAAUAUAAGGCUAGAAGCCAGAGGCAGAUUGACUUCUCUGCUUUCCAAGCAUCCCAAAUCCUAGGGCACAGCAGCCUGCCUUGCCCCAGGGUACUUACUUAUUCCUGUUUCCUUACAAAAACACCUGCCCUGACUUGCCCUCUGCUCCACCCACAGGAAUGUUAGUUAGGCUUGUUCAAGUUCCUAGAAAUAGGUCACCACUGGUUUUAGAGAGGGGAUGGGAGUGUGAAACCCUCUCUUUGGAAAAAUGCUAAAACGCCGAUCCCUAUCUCGGUGGUUGGAUUGCACAAUUCAAAGUAUGGUGACUUAGAGAAGUCAUGGUCUCCAGGGGUCAUCCCAACAGGGGAAGGCGAGUGUUCGCCUUUUUAUAGACACGGGAUGCAGAGAGUCAGAACGGAAGUGCCCCUCCAAAAAGAUGGAGGCGCCCUAGAGCCCCACUUCACCUGCCCCUCCUGCAACCACGAGAAGUUUGUGAGGAGAAAAUGGACCAUGCCAGCAACACUAGGAUCAUCUCUUGAACGGCAUGCCUAGAGGAAUCCCACAAGCCCAUCACAUUACCUGUCAGAGGCAGUGGAUGUUACAGAGAUUAGACAGAUGCCUGUCAGGCAGCCAACCAGUAACAUGGCAGAGGACCCACUCCCCUGGCAGUCGCACCUGCUGUGGACCUGCCCAGCAGCCCAGCCCUUUGUGUGUAUGGAGUGGGUAUGGAUGUGGUUGUGAGUGUGCAUGGCUGUGGGGGUGUGCUUGUGGGCAUGGAUUCACCUCGCUUUGAAAGCCUUUAACUUGCUGGCUCCUUUGCCCUGGUGUCCUGUCAUCCCGGGCAAGGGCUCUCCAGGACUUCCCAGGCUCCUCAUCCACCUCACCAGCACUCCACCCAUUUGAACUGGACUACCUGCCCCCCUUUCCUGCAUUCCGAGGCCUGUGGCCUGAGAAUUAAAGCUGCAGUCCCACAGGCCCCUAGGCUGGGCCCUUGCAGAACAGCUCCUUUUCAUAUUAAGUUGCUUUUGUAGAGGAAGAAGGGGCUGGGUCUGGGAUGGCUGUCAGUCAUGAGCCCUUAAAUAAUGCAGUGAUGAAAAACAAACAAAACAAAGCAAGACAGGGCAACAGGAAGGUACUUGAAAGCUUUUACAGAUUUGGGACAGUGGGAGCCCCUGCUGGUGCUGCAACCUUGAGAAAGGAAAGUCAGUAAAUGCGGACUGAAUGGUGCACAGCAGCCAGCAAGAUGGUGGAAGUUCGUAAGGGGUCUGCGAGUGUGGGUUAAGCCAUGGUCGAGAAGAGUCUGGCUCAGCAGCUCCAAUUGGCCCGAGAACAAUACACACAACAAAAGAGUGUGAGAGAAGAAAGGUUAAGAAUCUAGGGAUGAUGCCAAGACUUUUGACUCUGGAAAAACAAGUAUUAACACUCGCAAAGCUGAGACCUGGGCCCAAGAACACUUGUCUCAUGGUGCUUGCUCAGGUGUGAGUGCACAUGUAUACACGCACAUGCAUGCACACAGUCACAGAGUUACCUCCCCCAACGUAAGAGGCGUCUGAAGCCAUUUGUGGUACCAUGGGGAUCCAAUUAACCACAGCCUCUCACAAACAUUAACACACUAGUUAGACAUGAAAAACACUGCUGUGGCCCAUCAAAGGCAAGCUAUAGCUCACAGAGCAGCCCUGAAUAAAACAAAGACCUAAAGACAGCAGGGUUGCUUUGGAAGCAAUAGACUUUAUGACCACAAUUUGACCCAGGAUUUUACAGCUGAGACAAGCAGAGAUUUGGGCAGCGCGAGGCUUACAACACUUCACAAGAGUGUCCUGGAGUGGCUUUCUUAUCCAACGUGUACCUCCAGCCUCCCCUGUGCAAGCCACUUAACAGGGAGACCAAAUGCUGUACCGCAAGGAGACGCAGAACGUCAUCCAGACAGACGGUCAGGUAGUUCCUUUCUUCAAGUUUUCAAAAAUGCUGGGAUUCUGAUUUCUCUCCAAAUGGGACCACUGUUGGGGUCUGUGCUUUGAAGUCCUGGCUA